rnacentral:rRNA from 1 species
GAUCCAGACUCCUACGGGAGGCAGCAGUGGGGAAUAUUGGACAAUGGGGGAAACCCUGAUCCAGCGACGCCGCGUGAGUGAAGAAGUAUUUCGGUACGUAAAGCUCUAUCAGCAGGAAAGAAAAUGACGGUACCUGACUAAGAAGCCCCGGCUAACUACGUGCCAGCAGCCGCGGUAAUACGUAGGGGGCAAGCGUUAUCCGGAUUCACUGGGUGUAAAGGGAGCGUAGACGGCCAUGCAAGCCAGGGGUGAAAGCCCGGGGCCCAACCCCGGGACUGCCCUUGGAACUGCAUGGCUGGAGUGCGGGAGGGGCAGGCGGAAUUCCUGGUGUAGCGGUGAAAUGCGUAGAUAUCAGGAGGAACACCGGUGGCGAAGGCGGCCAACUGGGCUUUAACUGACGCUGAGGCUCGAAAGUGUGGGGAGCAAACAGGAUUAGAUACCCUCGUAUC